rnacentral:hammerhead_ribozyme from 1 species
GUACUACUGAAGAGUCCCAUACUAGGACGAAACGGCCGUCCAAUGC